AUUGAACGCUGGCGGCAGGCCUAACACAUGCAAGUCGAGCGGAGCGGCGGACGGGUAAGUCAUGCCUAGGAAUCUGCCUGGUAGUCGGGGAUAAGGUCCGGAAACGGGAGCCAACAUCGCAUACUAUCAGAUGAGCCUAGGUCGGAUUAGCUAGUUGGUGGGGUAAAGGCCUACCAAGGCGACGAUCGGUAACUGGUCUGAGAGGAUGAUCAGUCAUACUGGAACUGAGACACGGUCCAGACUCCUACGGGAGGCAGCAGUGGGGAAUAUUGUGCAAUGGGCGAAAGCCUGAUCCAGCCAUGCCGCGUGUGUGAAGAAGGUCUUCGGAUUGUAAAGCACUUUAAGUUGGGAGGCGUUACCAUCAGAAUAAGCCCCGGCUAACUUCGGGCCAACAGCCGCGGUAAUAC
rnacentral:rRNA from 1 species